CUGCACACUCACUCAACAAAGUUUCAUACACAUAUGCCAUCACAGUAGAGUAUAAGACCUCAAUCUGAAUAGACUGUGAUUUUAACCUAGAACUAACAGAGCAUCCUAGAAUGAGGAUGGGUGAAGCUACUAAUAAUAACACACAGAGCAUCGCCGACUAUUUGGCGCAGCUUCUAAAGGACAAAAAGCAGCUUGCAGCUUUCCCGAAUGUAUUUGUGCACAUGGAACGUUUGCUAGAUGACGAAAUUGGUAAAGUGCGGAGUAACUUGUUCCAAAUAAAUGGUUACGUGAAGGAGCCUCUAAUAUUACCAGAUGGAAAUGGUCCUCCAGUAAUUCACACAGAAAAGGUUUAUGUUCCGGUCAAAGAUCAUCCAGAGUUUAACUUUGUUGGUCGUAUUCUGGGCCCUAGGGGGCUCACCGCCAAGCAGUUGGAACAGGAGACUGGAUGUAAAGUAAUGGUGCGAGGGAAGGGCAGCAUGAGAGACAAGAAAAAGGAGGAACAGAACCGUGGUAAACCAAACUGGGAGCACUUGAACGAUGAGCUCCAUGUUCUAAUUACAGUUGAAGAUUGUGAAAACCGAGCAACACUCAAGCUAGAGCGCGCAGUCGAAGAAGUUAAGAAACUCCUCACCGUGAGCGAGGGUGAAGAUGAAUUAAAGAAGAGACAGUUGAUGGAGUUGGCCAUUAUCAACGGAACAUACAGAGAUUCAACAAGCAACAUGUCAUCUCCUGGACUUGAGACUCAACCCAGACUUGCUCUCACCCACAGCCAGCAUACUCAGCUCCAGAACGCGCUCGCAAACCAGGCGGCCGCGCUCAGGCAGAGCGGUCAACUGGGCGGCGCGCCUUUAAUUCUCUCCCCUCGUCUUCAGGGACUUCAGGUCCCAACCACCUUGGCCAAUGGACUGCUAAGCAACGGUGGUCCACCUCCACUCAUCAAUCCUAACGAUACGCAACAGCUGUUGUACGCACAAUACGGGAUUGCGGAUUACAGCAGCUACGCAGGGCUUACGUCACCAUUGAUUGACUACACACAGGAUACUUCAGGACUUGGUAAGGACAGGAAAUUUGUUGCUGGGCUUAGACAGCAUCCCUAUACCAGGCCCUAGUCUGAAGUGAGAGUUAGAGACACCUGUUGUUGAACUAGAGAACUACGAAUUAGAGAUAUUUAUCCCAGAGUAGAGAUAACUCGUGUCAAAAUAUGAAAAUAUAAUGUCCGGCCAGACCGGACAUUGGAGAUCUGCAACAUCUAAGAAUCUCUUUGUACAUAAAAAAUACUGUUGCAGUGCACACAACUGAACAUAAUUAUGACUGUCAAUGUUUAAAUUUACAAUUAGUCGACAUUUUUUGAUUCUCCAUGUACAGUCAUUGGUACACGGAUAUAUUAUAUGUGUUCAAUGUGUUGUACAGUACCUACAUGUACAGGAUGUAUGCACAACAAUGUUAUAGCUGUACUCUGUACAGUGUGCAUAUGUAUUAAUAAUUAGCGCAUUUUUGCUAAUUUAAUUCACUGGUGCCAAAUAGUAAGUCACAAAUCCGUUCUAUUCGCUGAACCACACAAAUUUUAACUCUGAACCCAAUUAUUUUAUCUUUUCUAGUUUUAUUUUCUCCAUAUUGAAUGAAUCGAAUUGACUAGAAUUUAUUUUAUGUCAAAAUAUUUUCUCCUGAAUACAAAACUUGUGCCAUCUUUACUUAAUGUGCCUUCACCACGUGCCUUAGAUGUAGACACAGAUUACACAGAUCGGACGUUAAGAGCGAGCCUUGGGUUUCUAAGACGACCUUCGUUGUCCUAUCUGUCACAUCUGUGAAUGUAGAUAAAAUUGUGUCAUAGUAUAUAUAUAACAAUAAUCCCAUCCGUCCAAGAUAAAUUUUUAAAAAUUUGUAUUUGCAGAUCGUAGUCAUUUAGCCCCACUUCUUAUCCUACUUAAUUGUAUAGUCGUACACCUAGUGUUAAAAAUAAAUAUGUUUUUAAAAUUCA
rnacentral:misc_RNA from 1 species